AAGCGCUUGCAGCCAGACUUGCCCGCAGUUGCUCACCCAGGCUCUCGCCUGGGGCACUCUUCUGCGAGCAGGCCAGCAUCAGUUUGGGCGGUCGGACAAAGGCCUCUGUCAUGUACCACCCUCCGGGGUGGCCUUAUAGGGGAGGCGUAAUGCGACCAGCCUGGACUGAGGUCCGCGCAUCUGCUAGGAUGCUGGCGUAAUGGCUGUAAGCGG
rnacentral:rRNA from 1 species